rnacentral:lncRNA from 1 species
CUCCACCAGCCGCCGCCGUCAACCUCCAUCGCCUCGCCCGUCACAGCCGCCUCCACAGCCUCGCCACCGCCACCGCCCCGGCCCCACCAUCCGCCCCCGCUCCGCCACCAGCGACGAUGCCGUCCUGGCUCUGCUGCUGCUGCUCCUUGAGCGGCGGCGGCGACGACGCUGCGACCGCGUUCCCGCUCGCGGGCGUGGCGUUCGGUGCGGGGUUUGGGGGCGGUGUGGGGACGGGGUUAGGGUUUGGGGCGGGGGACGAAGAGGUCAUAAGGACGGAGAGGGAUGGGACGGGGGAAGGGGAGGAAAAAGGGGGGCGCGAGGGCGGGGGUGCUUAGGUCAUUUGAAGCGACCGGCCGUCGCUGUCGCUGGUGGCGAGAGGACGAGGUGAGGGGAGGGGGGUUGGCUGUGCUCGGUGCGCCGGCGUCGCUUUCAGGUGGGUGGAGGAGGAG